UGUAAUGGGAUCUGACGCCCUCUUCUGGUGUGUCUGAAGACAGCCACAGUAUGUUCAUAUACAUAAAGUAAAUAAAUCUUUAAUAUAUAUAAUACAUAUUAUAUAUAUAUUAAAAUUUACCAACAAAACUUACAAAGAUUAGAUCUGGCCAGGGAGAAACUCUUAUCAGCAGAAACACGAAUGUCUUCACAGAGCAAACGGCCCAGGUGAUUUACUCUCACAGACUGUCUCGGUUACUGAUCUCUCCAGGAUAGGAAUGGAAAUCAACUUCAAAGGGGCUAGCCCAAGUUGUCAAUCGCACAGAGACUUGACAGGCAAUACAUAAAAUGAACAGACAACACAGAUUCUAGACAGGUAACACAGUGACUGGACAGACAACUCUGACACGCUAAAUAAUGAAGAAACUGGACAAUAAAUGCGAUAACUAGCUUUUUCUUUCUUUUCUAACUAUUUUUCCCCUCAGGCCCCAAACAGGAAUUCUUUGUUCCAGUUCAUCAGGAAGCAAUUACAUAAGAAGAUGACUGUCCUGAUCCCUUACACUGGGGUGGAUGGUUUGGGUCGUUUGCUGUGUUGUGGCUGUUAUCACCUAAAAUGGUAGAUUAUUUUUCUUAAUUACUGUAUAUUGGUAGAAACUUAAGGUUGUUUUGCCUAAUUAUGUAGUGACAGAAAUUUAAGGCUGUUUUUGUUAGAAUAUUGUUUGCCUAUAUUGUACGUAAGCUAUUUGUUUAAGGUGUGAUAUAAAGUUCUAGCUUUAUGAUUCUUACCACUGUUUCUAUUGUGUAUGAGUUGAUAUUGUUAGAUAAAAGGACAGUUUUUUAAACAGAAAACGGGAUAUGAAGUGGAAAUUCCUGGUUUCUUUGGAGACUUGGUUGAGUCGUGUGAAGUUUUUCUGGAAACUUCAUAUGAGAGGAUGUUCAGCUGAGAACAGACACGUGUGUUUUUCUGGAAGCAGCAGCCUGGUAAAAGGGCAUGUGAUGUUUUCCUGGAGUGGACACUUUGAGAGAACACGUGAUGUUUAGAAAGUGUAUAAAUAUAACCCAGGAGACGGCGGGCAACACUGUGUGGUAUCGGUGGGUGACGCUGUGUGGUAUCGGUGGGUGACACUGUGUGGUAUCGGUGGGUGACGCUGUGUGGUAUCGGUGGGUGACGCUGUGUGGUAUCGGUGGGUGGUGCUGUGUGGUAUCGGUGUGGUAUCGGUGUGCCUUACCAUUUUUUGCUGGCCAUCACUGGGCUUUGCUGGCCUUAGUCUCUGCUGACUCUACUCUAUGGCACUGGCUCACCUUGACGUUUGUUGCUGGUCAUGGUUUGUUGUGACCUCAUAGAGAGACGCAUUCUAAGGAAUUUCUGGUAGUGUUCUGGUGGCUUCUGGGGCGACCUGCCAUUGCUGAUUUGUGAAGAGAGUUUGUGAGUGGAUCGAGCUGGCUCUGCUGAUUUGUGUGAACUGAACGGCUGGUUCCUGACAAUGCUGGUUGGGAUUGCUCCAAAGAACUAUUUCUAAACAGGGCAACUUAGCUGGGUUCCAGAGAGAAAGAUACAGCGGCAGAGCGUGGGUUUGUGAGAAGUACAUCCCAGCUAGCCAUGUGAAUUUGGAUGCAUGGGACUGGCGUGGCGGCAACCCACCAGGGGAACUUAGUGAGUGAGUCAGGUGGAGAGAUUUCGGAGCGCCAGGUCAGAGAGUCUCCACAAGAUGAGGGAAGUCUGGUGCCUUGCUAACGGUGGUAGCAUGGUGGUUUUUUUUUUUACUAUUUCACACAACAGAUGACGUCCAACGUGGCAGGCAAGAAUCCGCUAGAAAUGUAAGAUUCUUAGCCUUUAGUUAGAAAUCUAGUUAGAGGGGUUGGGGAUUUAGCCCAGUGGUAGAGCGCUUGCCUAGGAAGUGCAAGGCCCUGGGUUCGGUCCCCAGCUCCGAAAAAAAGAACCAAAAAAAAAAAAAAAGAAAUCUAGUUAGAAAGUUUGGCUAGAGGGGUAGAGUUGAGUCACUUGUUGACUCAAGGCGGGAACCUUGAAACAGAGGGGGGGGGGCCUGAGGUCCCCCGCUGUGAAAAGAGACAAGAUGGCUGCUCUGAGUCAGAGAGCUCGGGAAUGGAAGCUGCCUACUCAUUGGAGCAGGUACUGAUUGAACGAUGAAUUCAUAAAAUUGGUAUUAUUUGCUUUUAGGAUAGAUUUAUAUACAGAUUUUGUCCAAAUCACGUGGGGAAUUUCACCUGUGGUUCGGAACUAAGAUAGAGAAAAUUAGUCACUGACGCCAAGUAGAGAGCAGUGAUAAUUUGCCUGCUAAUGAGAAGGUCUCAAUAAAGAGAAGUCUGUGGCUCCAGGCAGAGAGCACAACAGGUAGACGGUAUGUUGAAGUCUACAGGAAACUUUUACUCUUUGUGCGCUCUCUGGGAAUGUUGGAUUAAUUUCCUGACAUGACAGAAUAGAAAAAAACCCAAGAAUAGGCUCACACAGCGUUUAGUUUAGUUUAGUUCGGGAUUACUUUAAUUUUCAAAAUGGGUGUGAUUUUGAGUUUUGUGGUUAUAUUAUUCCUCUGGGAGAGAGGUCAAGCUAAAGGUUUUUCUGGUUACUGGCUCAAGGACAUGCCAUUUUGGGAGAAAGGCUUUGUCUUGGUGUUUUACCAAGUGAUUAGUGUCUACACACUUUACAGAGUUACAUGGAUCAAAUAUGACGAAGGGAGACCCCCUGAAGACUAGAUUCCAGAGACUCAAACAAAACAGAUAUCUUGAUGAUACUUAAUUUUGUUUUGAGAUUUGUAUAUUACAGAAUGCACAGCUUUGGUGAGAUCCAUCGUCAGAUGUGCUGAACUGACCUGCUUGAACUCCUGAUCUCAGGGACUUUCAGCCAGAUCCAGUCAGGACAGACAUCAGAGACAUCAUUGGUGUGGCCUUUUUAAGGCCUAACAACUCCCCAUUUUCCCUCCCUUCCGCACCCCCACCCUUGUCAAAGAUAUCUCAAUGCCCAUAUACUACUG